CCGUUUAACCUUCUCUCUCUGUUUGCAACGUUCGUUAUUCUCUUUACAACAGAGCUCAAGGAAAUCCAAGGUCUCAGUUCAACAACGACCAAUAGAUGGAUCUACAUGUAUCAGCGUAACUAUAAACUAUCGUGGAAUUCUAUCAAAAAAUCUAAAAACUCGAACACAACGCAUGCACCUCAAAACGGAAUGUGGGAACAAGUCACUGAUGCGCCGAGGCACAAAUCACGUAGAAGGAAAGAUAGGUCAUACAUACAAUCGUUAAAAUUCAAACAGACCAAGGAGUAGAG
rnacentral:lncRNA from 1 species